rnacentral:rRNA from 1 species
GACGAACGCUGGCGGCGUGCUUAACACAUGCAAGUCGAACGGAAAGGCCCUGCUUUUGUGGGGUGCUCGAGUGGCGAACGGAUGAGUAACAAGUGAGUAACCUGCCCUUGACUUUGGGAUAACUUCAGGAAACUGGGGCUAAUACAGGAUAGGAGCUCCUGCUGCAUGGCGGGGGUUGGAAAGGUUCGGCGGUCGGGGAUGGACUCGCGGCUUAGCAAUUUGCUGGUGGGGUAGUGGCUUACCAAGGCAUUGACGGGUAGCCGGCCUGAGAGGGUGACCGGCCACAUUAGGACUGAGAUACGGCCCAGAGUCCUACGGGAGGCAGCAGUGGGGGAUAUUGCACGAUGGGCGGAAGCCUGGUGCAGCAACGCCGCGUGCGGGAUGACAGCCUUCUGGUUGUAGACCGCUUUCGCCUGUGACGAAGCGUGAGUGACGGUAAUGGGUAAAGAAGCACCGGCUAACUACGUG